AGCGAACGCUGGCGGCAGGCCUAACACAUGCAAGUCGAACGAACCUUUCGGGGUUAGUGGCGGACGGGUGAGUAACACGUGGGAACGUGCCUUUAGGUUCGGAAUAACUCAGGGAAACUUGUGCUAAUACCGAAUGCGCCCUUCGGGGGAAAGAUUAAUCGCCUUUAGAGCGGCCCGCGUCUGAUUAGCUAGUUGGUUGAGGUAAUGGCUCACCAAGGCGACGAUCAGUAGCUGGUCUGAGAGGAUGAUCAGCCACAUUGGGACUGAGACACGGCCCAAACUCCUACGGGAGGCAGCAGUGGGGAAUCUUGCGCAAUGGGCGAAAGCCUGACGCAGCCAUGCCGCGUGAAUGAUGAAGGUCUUAGGAUUGUAAAAUUCUUUCACCGGGGACGAUAAUGACGGUACCCGGAGAAGAAGCCCCGGCUAACUUCGUG
rnacentral:rRNA from 1 species